UCCCGGAGAGCCCUCAGCUGCGCCGCUUCGCUGGGCAAUGUCACCCCCAAGCUCACCGAAUGACUACGGCUUCAGAACGACGCCGGAGAGAAUGUGAAACAACCCGUGGAAUAGAGCGUCGUUACAGCGUGCCGCAGCCAGAUAAAGAUGCUUUCACGUGCUUCUGUCUAAAUCAUCCGUUUCAAUUUUAUUUGCCAACUUGAAUAAUGUCGAGUUUCAACAAUGGUGACUGUACUCGAACGUGUCUAGUUGGUAACCAGUGUUUACUAUCCGGAGAAAUAGAGCAGCGUUUAAAAAAGUGUAAAACCAACAGCAAUUUCGAGUGUGGCGGCAGAUCUGGUUCAGGCAGGUAAUACCAAGAAUUGAUUCGACGUCAAUCUCACGGGCACUCCGACCGAUGACGAACUGCACUC